GUCUUCAUGGCUUUGCAGUUUCUCGGUAAUUAACAUUUCAGUAAUGGGUUAUUUUCCUAUAAAUAGCAGUGUUAUUCCUUACUUAUCAGCUCUAGCUACAGUUGUAUUGUUUGUAAAGUAUAUAAUCAAAACAUCUACAUUUUGGACUCUCAGGAAUGUAAAAAGGUGUGUAUUAUUUCUGCUUCAACAGAAACCCACCACAGGGUUUUUCUCAUGUAACCAGCCGCCUCACCAGCAACCACAUUAACAAAUACCAAUCCUUAUCCCUGUCUGUAUGUUGGUUUAUCCGCGCUUAAAUGUGAUAGGACUACAGAAUUUUGUGCUCGCCGUACAACAAUGGGUAAGUGUUAAAUAACUCGUUCAAAAUUUAAGUCAUUUUAAAACACAAUACUUAAUAUACAAUUAUUUAACAAACAACGAUCUGUAUAUUGAAAAUUAUCGCUUUAAAGACUGAAAUAACCUACGUCUGAUACAAAAUGAUAUAUAAAAGUAUUAACGUCUACCCCUCCUGUCUACGCUCUGAUGGUACCUUCCAGAUGAUGACGCACUUUCUUCGACGAGUCCGCUCGAGCGGCCAUUUUGAUAGAAGUUUGAGGUUAGAAAAAUAGACCGGGGUAUUUGUUUGAGUUUCGUGUAAAAAUACAUUUACUCCGGGAAAUUUAAAUUUACAGUGCAGAUUCAUUAUUUAACGAACUCCAGUUUGUGGUUGCAAGAACCCUAAAAAUAAGACCGGUUAGACGAGAAAACUGAGAGCGCGAAAAAAAUACCCUUUCUAUCAUUCAUUGCGCGAGCUUGAGGCCCUCUUUCAUCCUUCAUGGACGAUAGUUAGCAGCGACGUUUUAUGGGAGUAUAAGCGUUCAUCUGUUUAUCUGAUAUUUGUAUUGUUAUCUGUGAUAAUAAUUUUGGUAGAUAACGCAUACUACAGUGUGCAUUGUUUACAUUUUCGUUUCAGUAGGCACUGUGUUUACAACGUCCCGCCGUAAAGCUAGCUAAGCUAGCUAACUAAAUUAUUUACCGUGGUGGCUAACGUAUUAGCUAGCUAGCUAGCACAAAGCGCCCACCUACCCUAACGUCCAGUACUAGCUAGCAACCACCGCGAUUUCGCAUUAAAAUCAUGGAAACGUGUUAUAUCCGUGUGGCUGAGGAUGAAAACGAGGAGCCAAUGGAAAUUCCCUCCGAGGAGGACGGGACGGUGCUGUUGUCCAGCGUGGCGGCGCAGUUUCCAGGCGCGUGCGGCCUGCGUUACCGGAAUCCGGUGUCUCAGUGCAUGCGGGGAGUGCGCUUAGUGGAGGGAGUGCUGCAUGCACCGGAGGCCGACUGGGGCAACCUGGUGUACGUAGUCAACUACCCAAAAGACAAUAAAAGAAAGAUGGAUGAAAUGGAUGCUGCUUCUGCUGUGAAAAUUAAGAGGGGCAUUCAGAAGACUUCAGACUUGAUUGUUCUUGGGUUGCCAUGGAAAACAUCUGAGCAAGACCUGAAAGAGUAUUUCAGCACAUUUGGAGAGGUGAUAAUGGUACAGGUUAAGAGAGAUGCAAAAACAGGAAAUUCUAAAGGAUUUGGCUUUGUAAGGUUUACAGACUAUGAGACACAGAUUAAAGUGAUGUCCCAGCGGCAUAUGAUUGAUGGGAGAUGGUGUGACUGCAAGCUCCCCAACUCAAAGUACUUCAUGGAACAGGCUGGGCUAGAUGAGCCUAUGCGGAGUAGGAAAGUGUUUGUGGGCCGAUGUACUGAGGACAUGACUGCUGAUGACCUCAGGCAGUUCUUUAUGCAGUACGGUGAAGUCACCGAUGUCUUCAUUCCUAAGCCUUUCCGAGCAUUCGCCUUUGUCACUUUUGCCGAUGACCAGGUUGCCCAGUCUCUGUGUGGUGAGGACCUGAUCAUCAAGGGCACCAGCGUACACAUCUCUAACGCAGAGCCUAAGCACAAUAAUAGUAGGCACAUGUUGGAUCGUGCUCGUUUUGGGGGGUUUGGGCAGGGCUUUGGCGGUAGUCGCAGUCAUAGCAGCAAUGUGAAUUUUGGGGCUCUUAGCUUAAACCCAGCCAUGAUGGCAGCAGCCCAGGCAGCCCUCCAGAGCAGCUGGGGAAUGAUGGGUAUGCUGGCCAAUCAGCAGGGUCAGACGGCUGCCUCUGGUACCACUGCAGCCGGCCAAACAGCAGGUAGCAGAGAUCAGGGCCAGGGCUAUAGCGCGGCCGGCAGCAAUUAUAAUGCCACCAGCUCAGCUAGUCUCGGGUGGGGUGCGAAUAACGCAGCCUCCAGCGGUGGCUUUAGCUCUGGCUUUGGCUCCAGUAUGGAGACCAAGUCUAGUUGGGGAAUGUAAAGAGCUACUUUGUUUUUGCAGUGUCCUUAUUUCUAAAUUAGGUAAGUACUUUUGAGAUGAGAGUUUGCAGGCAGAUGUUAUUUUUCUUGUAUUUAGAAGAUAUUUGCUUCUGUGUUUUGUUUAAAAGAUGUUAUACAUGAAGAAAAACUUUAUAAAAUUGAUUGGAUUAAAUCGUAAGAGUGGUAUGAACACUACGUAGAAAAUCUAAUUUGUUUUCAUUGAUUAUUUUGGUUAAAACUUGAUAUUUCAUUGCAUUUCAGUGUUUAUGAACUGUACUUAGAGAUGCUUUGUUGUGAAUCUGACUUGAGUUGUAUUGUGUGGAGUUGUUUGCAUUUUUUUGAGUUUAUGGUCAAGCCUUCAUAAAUCUCUUCUACAGUUCACCACCUCUUUUCCCAUUUCCCUGGAAGAAGCGCUUCGUUGGCCGCAAUGUUCGAGCGAUCUCAGUAUCAGUACCCUUCUUCCCAUGUGUAAAUGCUUUGCCAUCAAAGAACACAGCUUCACUCUUCAUUUACUGUGUUAGACGGGACCUUGGACUCCGCUGGCCCAGGUUUACAUCAGAUCCCAGAGUGAAGUCAGUUUUGGGGAAGCUGAAGACCGGAGUUGGUGUAGUGUUGGCGGCUCCAACACAAUCCAACUGUGGAGAUGCUGCUGAUUGCCUUAGACCUGAAAAGGGACUUCUUCACUUCACUGUAACAGGAUCCCUGGAAUCUCUAUUGAAAUUUAAAUGGACUAUUUCAAAUUGGCUGGAGCACAUAGGAAAAGAAACCCAAUUGAAAAUAAAGGGUAAAGAAUAUUGUCAUGGAACAAUGCCUGAGCCCUUCAGUCCCGUUUCAAGUGACACUCAUACUUUUCAUUUUGUAAAUGACUCAUUGUUUAAUUGUGCUAUUAGGUUUUUUCUCUUUUGUUUGUUUAAAACUGUCACCAAUGGCAGGUUCAUCAGUUGUAAUUUUUAAGUGGUCUGAUAUUUCUAAAAGUGGGAAAGACGCAUCCCCUACCCCCACCCCUUACACCCUCAAGAACAGCAGCCUGCAAGUUUUCUUGUUUCUGUCAUGAGAAAGUUGUAAAGAUCUCGGGGAGUUGUGAAAUCUUUGGACUGUAAUGGGGAUUUUGAAGUGAAUGGUGUGAAUUUCUGGUAAUUUUCAAUAAACAGACUCAUACAAAUCUUUAAUACUGUAUUUUAAGAUUUUAUCCAGUUUUCUAUAAGUUUGAUUUUAGUUAUUUAACGUGUAAAAUGAAUCAAAAUUUUCAAGCAAAUGUUUUACCUAUCUAGAGUGCUGGGGGAGGGGGUUAGUUUAGGAAAGUUUAUGAAGUGAGAUUAGAGAACUAGAGUAAUGAAGGGACAUGUGCUUAUGAUUGAGUGUAAAUUGGCCAAAUAAAUGUCUUUUUUUUAUUAUUUUUUAGGAUGGUUUGGAAUCUUGUUUAGUUUUUGAGAGAUAUAAAAAGCUUAAUACACAUA